CCUCAGACUCCUGAGUGAAGCCCGUUCUCUCCGGCAGCUGUGGGGUGCUGAGCGUCGCAUCCCAGCCUCUACUGGCCGGCUUCUGGGGAGCCCCUCGAGCGAGCUGCAGCAGCCUCAGCAGGCCCUCAAGGGGGCGCCGAUGACAUCCGUGUGAAUCCGGUCACCAAGCUGAUGGUCCCCAGCCCCAACUGUGCAAUGCUUCCGGCCAGUGGCCAUGCAGGGUCCAUACCUCCUGGCUACUUCGUCCACCCUGACACCGGGAGGGUGCUGCCUGAAGCUGGAAACCUGGGGUGGCGUCCGAACAUCAGAAGCUGCCAUCCUCCCCUAUGUGCCCUACCCGACCUGCCCCGCCACAGGCUCCCCUCCAACCUCCUGCCUGCCCGUCCUGCAGCCACGAAGGACGUCACAGAUGGGGGCUGUCAUGACAGACCCUGCAACUGGCAUCGAGGUGCCCGUGCUGGCUGUGACCCUGCACCCUCAGACGAGGCAGUGGCUCGCUCUUGGGGGCACAUACUGCAACCCUCUCACCAAGACCUUGGCCCCUCUAGAGCUGGGGGGCCCCAUGGAGGAUCCAGUCACUGGAGGCAUCUCGCC
rnacentral:lncRNA from 1 species